AUCAGCUUUCGACGGUAUGGUAUUGGCUUACUGUGGCAGUGACGGUUAACGGGGGAUUAGGGUUCGAUUCCGGAGAGGGAGCCUGAGAAACGGCUACCACAUCUAAGGAAGGCAGCAGGCGCGCAAAUUACCCAAUUCUAACAGCAUGAGAGAGGUAGUGACAAGAAAUAACAAUACAAGGCAGUUAAAAUGCUUUGUAAUUGGAAUGAUAGAAAUUUAAACACUUUUUAAAGUAUCAAUUGGAGGGCAAGUCUGGUGCCAGCAGCCGCGGUAAUUCCAGCUCCAAUAGCGUAUAUUAAAAUUGUUGCAGUUAAAAAGCUCGUAGUUGAAUUUCUGUUAAAAAUAACCGGUCUGCUUUUAAUAAAAGUGGUAUCUUGGUGUGUUUUUAGCAAUAAUGUCCUUUGAAAUGUUUUUUACUUUAUUGUAAUAGAUUAUAUUCAGGAUUUUUACUUUGAGAAAAUUAGAGUGUUUCUAGCAGGCUAACGCUUUGAAUACUGCAGCAUGGAAUAAUAAAAUAGGAUUUUGGUUCUACAUUAUUGGUUUUAAGAACUAAAUUAAUGAUUGAUAGGGACAGUUGGGGGCAUUUGUAUUUAACUG
rnacentral:rRNA from 1 species